UACGAAGGGGGCUAGCGUUGUUCGGAAUCACUGGGCGUAAAGCGCACGUAGGCGGACUUUUAAGUCAGGGGUGAAAUCCCGGAGCUCAACUCCGGAACUGCCUUUGAUACUGGAAGUCUUGAGUCCGAGAGAGGUGAGUGGAACUCCGAGUGUAGAGGUGAAAUUCGUAGAUAUUCGGAAGAACACCAGUGGCGAAGGCGGCUCACUGGCUCGGUACUGACGCUGAGGUGCGAAAGCGUGGGGAGCAAACAGG
rnacentral:rRNA from 1 species